rnacentral:misc_RNA from 1 species
AAAGUCGUAACAAGGUUUCCGUAGGUGAACCUGCGGAAGGAUCAUUAACUAGUAUUGAAGUCCACGGGGAUCAGGCUUUCCGAAAGGAGGGUGGGGGGAUGUUUGGUUCCCCCUGCUUGGGCAGACUGGAGAGCAUUGUGUAGCCACUUUUGUUGGCUACGUUAUGUUUGGCCUCUGCUGAUCGAGCUUGUCACCUGAAUUCUACUACCCUUGCUUUUUGCGCACCCAUUGUUUCCUCGGUAGGCUUGCCUGCCAGUAGGACCAUUUAAAACCCUUUGUGAUUGCAAUCAGCGUCAGAAAUAACGUAAUCGUUACAACUUUCAACAACGGAUCUCUUGGUUCUG